AAUAGAUACCCAGGUAGUCCACGCCGUAAACGAUGAGUGCUAAGUGUUAGAGGGUUUCCGCCCCUUUAGCGCUGCAGCAGACGCAUUAAGCACUCCGCCUGGGGAGUACGGUCGCAAGACUGAAACUCAGAGGAAUUGACGGGGGCCCGCACAAGCGGUGGAGCAUGUGGUUUAAUUCGAAGCAACGCGAAGAACCUUACCAGGUCUUGACAUCCUUAUGCCUUCUCUAGAGAUAGAGCUUUCCCUUCGGGGACAUAAGUGACAGGUGGUGCAUGGUUGUCGCCAGCUCGUGUCGUGAGAUGUUGGGUUAAGUCCCGCAACGAGCGCAACCCUUGAUCUUAGUUGCCAGCAUUCAGUUGGGCACUCUAAGGUGACUGCCGGUGACAAACCGGAGGAAGGUGGGGAUGACGUCAAAUCAUCAUGCCCCUUAUGACCUGGGCUACACACGUGCUACAAUGGAUGGUACAAAGGGCAGCGAAACCGCGAGGUUAAGCCAAUCCCAUAAAACCAUUCUCAGUUCGGAAUUGCG
rnacentral:rRNA from 1 species